UCCGGUUUAACACCGGCAGUCUCCAUAGAGUGCCCAACUAAAUGAUGGCAACUAGGGAUAAGGGUUGCGCUCGUUAAGGGACUUAACCCGACAUCUCACGAUACGAGCUGACGACAGCCAUGCAGCACCUGUCUCCCGGCCCCCGAAGGGGAAGCCCUGUUUCCAGGGAUGUCCGGGGAUGUCAAACCCAGGUAAGGUUCUUCGCGUAGCAUCGAAUUAAACCACAUGCUCCACCGCUUGUGCGGGCCCCCGUCAAUUCCUUUGAGUUUUAAUCUUGCGACCGUACUCCCCAGGCGGAAUGCUUAAAGCGUUAGCUGCGCCACUGACGAGCAAGCUCGCCAACGGCUGGCAUUCAUCGUUUACGGCGUGGACUAC
rnacentral:misc_RNA from 1 species